rnacentral:rRNA from 1 species
AGAGUUUGAUCCUGGCUCAGAACGAACGCUGGCGGCGUGCUUAACACAUGCAAGUCGAACGAGAAUCGGAGCUUGCUCCGAGGAUAGUGGCGCACGGGUGAGUAACGCGUGGAUAACCUGCCCUGGUAUCUGGGAUAACAUCUCGAAAGGGGUGCUAAUACCGGAUAAGCCCACGGGAACUUUGGUUCUUGCGGGAAAAGGUGGCCUCUGAAUAUGCUACUGUGCUGAGAUGAGCUUGCGUACCAUUAGCUAGUUGGUAGGGUAAUGGCCUACCAAGGCAACGAUGGUUAGCGGGUCUGAGAGGAUGAUCCGCCACACUGGAACUGGAACACGGACCAGACUCCUACGGGAGGCAGCAGUGAGGAAUAUUGCGCAAUGGGGGCAACCCUGACGCAGCGACGCCGCGUGGAUGAUGAA